UGAAAAUAUUAUUCUUUUAAAAUAUUCUGAUAACAACGGUAUAUAAACUGACAAAUUUAAGUAAGGUCCAACGCGGAAUAUCAAUUACAGAACAAAUUCCUCUGAAUAGACUAAAAUACCGCCAAAUUUUUUAAGUUUCAAGAACAUAACUAUUAC
rnacentral:rRNA from 1 species